rnacentral:rRNA from 1 species
GUAGGUGGCAAGCGUUGUCCGGAAUUAUUGGGCGUAAAGCGCGCGCAGGCGGGUCCUUUAAGUCUGAUGUGAAAGCCCACGGGCUCAACCGUGGAGGGUCAUUGGAAACUGGGGGACUUGAGUACAGAAGAGGAAAGCGGAAUUCCAAGUGUAGCGGUGAAAUGCGUAGAGAUUUGGAGGAACACCAGUGGCGAAGGCGGCUUUCUGGUCUGCAACUGACGCUGAGGCGCGAAAGCGUGGGGAGCAAACAGGAUUAGAUACCCUGGUAGUCCACGCCGUAAACGAUGAGUGUUAAGUGUUAGGGGGUUUCCGCCCCUUAGUGCUGCAGCUAACGCAUUAAGCACUCCGCCUGGGGAGUACGGCCGCAAAGGCUG